UUGGCUUUACACUAAAAACACAAACAAAAUGACUGUUGCGCUCGCAGCCAAACUCAAUAUUUUUCUUUGGUGAAUGUGAGUGCUACGAUCAAAUGUGACCCUGGAGUAACUGUAGCUCACAUCAGAAGCGAACAGCAGUUUUUCCUUUAAUUUGUUGAGAGAGUGUGGAGCUCAAGGUCUUGUUUGUACCGCUGGAAAAUAUGAAGCGAAGGUCAUUCCCUGAGACUCGAGCGGAGAAGCUCAGAGAUGAUACUGAAGGAUUUCACCUUAACGCCUUCUGAGAGUGGAGCGUGAAGCAAUUACUACCAAAUGUUCAACCUAUUGUUCUUGCCGACAAUCUCUCAUGUUGCGAAUCCCUGGAGAGUUUGUGCUGUGUGCGAUUGGGGAGUCAACACCACUAAAAAAUUCAACCCAGGUUCAUCACGGAUACAUACCCAGGUCUAUAUUUCUGGGGACAGUGAAAUACAAAACCGAAGCAUCCUCUUCUGGAAUAAAUCCACCAUAGGGUGCAAUAUAUAUGUUACCGACUCGGUCCCAGUCAUUCCCCUCGCUGGCCAGCAGAGGUCACCAUCCCCGGACUUUUAAGCAUUACAUCAUCCAUCUAAACUGAUUGUGCACACACCUGAACUGAAUCUAGUUAACGACCCACGCUUCCUAUAUAAGCCACACUCAAACACCAGUUCAUUGUGAAGUCUUGUUUAGCCCCGGCCAGCAUUACUGAGCGGGUUUUCCUGUCUGAUCUUCUGAGAAUAACCCCGGACAGUUUCUGACUCUGAGUUGCCUUCUGCCUGCCCACGACCCUUGCUUUAUACACGGACUCUGAACCACGCUGCCUGCCCUCGACCCAAGCCUGUCUAACGGAUUCUGAACCACACCGCCUGCCACUGAUCUAUGCCUGGUAAAUCACUCUGUGUCUGUCAGCCGCCAGCCCCAAGACCAUUAUUGAUUACUGUUGA